UACGGAGGGUGCAAGCGUUAUCCGGAUUCACUGGGUUUAAAGGGUUCGUAGGCGGAUAGGUAAGUCCGUGGUGAAAUCCUGCAGCUUAACUGCAGAACUGCCGUGGAUACUAUCUAUCUUGAAUGUCGUGGAGGUUAGCGGAAUAUGUCAUGUAGCGGUGAAAUGCUUAGAUAUGACAUAGAACACCCAUUGCGAAGGCAGCUAACUACGCGAUAAUUGACGCUGAUGCACGAAAGCGUGGGGAGCAAACAGG
rnacentral:rRNA from 1 species